GGUGGCACCUCUCGCAGAAGAACCUCGCGAAGGUUUCAGUACCGUCUCGCUCUCUAACAGGGGAAACCGGAAAUGUUUCGACCCCGCGGCCUCCGUACUGGCGGGAAAAUAAAUAAGUGCGAGCGUUUGUCUUCUUAAAUCGCCGCGAGUGUUUAACGCGUAAAGUUCGUUAAACUUUCUCGUCAAAUAAUAUUUGUGUGAUUCGUCGGUGCGAAGAAAUAAUAAGAAGGAAGAAUAUAUACGAACUUUUCGUGUAA
rnacentral:lncRNA from 1 species